AACGAACGCUGGCGGCAUGCCUAACACAUGCAAGUCGAACGAGACCUUCGGGUCUAGUGGCGCACGGGUGCGUAACGCGUGGGAACCUGCCCUUAGGUUCGGAAUAACUCCCCGAAAGGGGUGCUAAUACCGGAUAAUGUCUUCGGACCAAAGAUUUAUCGCCUUUGGAUGGGCCCGCGUUGGAUUAGCUAGUUGUUAGGGUAAAAGCCUACCAAGGCGACGAUCCAUAGCUGGUCUGGGGGGAUGAUCAGCCACCCUGGGACUGAGACACGGCCCAGGCUCCCACGGGAGGCAGCAGUGGGGAAUAUUGGACAAUGGGCGAAAGCCUGAUCCAGCAAUGCCGCGUGAGUGAUGAAGGCCUUAGGGUUGUAAAGCUCUUUUACCCGGGAUGAUAAUGACAGUACCGGGAGAAUAAGCUCCGGCUAACUCCGUG
rnacentral:rRNA from 1 species